rnacentral:rRNA from 1 species
CAGUCGCCGCGGGAAUACGGAGGGGGCUAGCGUUGUUCGGAAUUACUGGGCAUAAAGCGGGCGUAGGCGGCUUUGUAAGUUAGAGGUGAAAGCCUGGAGCUUAACUCCAGAAUUGCCUUUAAGACUGCAUCGCUUGAAUCCGAGAGAGGUGAGUGGAAUUCCGAGUGUAGAGGUGAAAUUCGUAGAUAUUCGGGAGAACACCAGGGGCGAAGGCGGCUCACUGGCUCGGUAUUGACGCUGAGGUGCGAAAGCGUGGGGAGCAAACAGGAUUAGAUACCCGCGUAGUCCCUGUCUCUUAUAC